GAGUUAGGAACAGACUGUAAGAAAUGGUUGGUCUGGAGGAAAAAGGGUAAAACUUAUGAGGGCCCUUUUUAUUUGAUGAAUAUGGAGGCACUAAGAAGCAGAAAUAGAACUGAGAAGAAUGAAAUAACUGUCUCUACCUUUCUCGAAUUGUCUGAUAUGGAAGGAAUGAAAGACAGCUAAUAAGCAACUCUCUGCAAGAAGACAUAUGGCUUAGAAUCUACUUGGAGAGAGUCAAACACAGAAUCCCUUUGAAUUUAAUGGCCAUUCCAGGUGAUUUAAACAGCCAAAUAAGAAAUAGGUCCUCUUCCAUGUACAAUCUGCCAAGU
rnacentral:lncRNA from 1 species